rnacentral:rRNA from 1 species
AUCGAGAGAGGGGCUUCGCGCUCCCGGGGGUUUCGGCCCCCAACUCUUCACCCAUUGUCAAUUUACCUUUGUUGCUUUGGCGAAUUCCGGGGUAGGUCUUGCGUAGGUUUGUCAUAAACCCGUGCGAGAUAUGCCCCGGCGCCCGCCGGAGGCCCAUUAAAAUCUGUUUAUCAGUGAUGUCCGAGUCAAUACCAAUAAUAAAAACUUUCAACAACGGAUCUCUUGGUUCCAGCAUCGAUGAAGAACGCAGCGAAAUGCGAUAAGUAAUGUGAAUUGCAGAAUUCAGUGAAUCAUCGAAUCUUUGAACGCACAUUGCGGCCCCCUGGUAUUCCGGGGGGCAUGCCUGUUCGAGCGUCAUUACACCCCUCAAGCAUAGCUUGGUAUUGGGCUCUCGCCCCCACGGCGUGCCGGAAAAGCAGUGGCGGUCCGGUGUGACUUUAAGCGUAGUAAAUUUCUCCCGCUUNAAAAGCUCGCCCCGUGGCCUNCNANANAACCCCAUGGACUUCNAUAA